GACAUACAUACCUGCGAGAGGAGAGGAGGCGCGGUGCUUUCGAAGGGUGGGUAAAGGGAUGAGAGCGCCCCCUGUACGCAGUCCUCCAUGGCCUCUGAUGCCUGAUUGGAACAAAAGAGCUGGAAUCAACUUUGCUUUGUUUCUCUGACACCCCGUCGUGCCCCCCGGCCCCACCCCCGCAAUCUCAGUCAAGCCAGAAUUGUGCUUUCAGCCCUCAACGAUUUGACAACAAUUACAUGGAUUUCAUCUUCUGCUGUCGCCGUAUUGGGAUGAAAAGGUUGAAGAGCAGCACAGGCCGGACUCUUUGGUUCCAGAAAAGAAACUAUGGCAUGUUUCUGACAGACCAAAAGAAAGAAAAAGACACAGGAGGAGGAGAGAAAAGUCUGAACGCUGGGAAAG